GCUGACACAUCCCUGCCAAUCUCCGGCAGACCCUCCCUCCCAGACCCUCCCACCUCCUGGACAGCAUCCAUGUUGAAGCUGCCUUCAACAUGGAUGCUGUCCAGGAAGUAGGAGGGUCUGGGAGGGAGGGUCUAAUGGAGAUUGGCAGGGAUGUGUCAG